GAUGAACGCUGGCGGCGUGCCUAAUACAUGCAAGUCGAGCGAACGGACGAGAAGCUUGCUUCUCUGAUGUUAGCGGCGGACGGGCGAGUAACACGUGGAUAACCUACCUAUAAGACUGGGAUAACUUCGGGAAACCGGAGCUAAUACCGGAUAAUAUUUUGAACCGCAUGGUUCAAAAGUGAAAGACGGUCUUGCUGUCACUUAUAGAUGGAUCCGCGCUGCAUUAGCUAGUUGGUAAGGUAACGGCUUACCAAGGCAACGAUGCAUAGCCGACCUGAGAGGGUGAUCGGCCACACUGGAACUGAGACACGGUCCAGACUCCUACGGGAGGCAGCAGUAGGGAAUCUUCCGCAAUGGGCGAAAGCCUGACGGAGCAACGCCGCGUGAGUGAUGAAGGUCUUCGGAUCGUAAAACUCUGUUAUUAGGGAAGAACAUAUGUGUAAGUAACUGUGCACAUCUUGACGGUACCUAAUCAGAAAGCCACGGCUAACUACGUGCCAGCAGCCGCGGUAAUACGUAGGUGGCAAGCGUUAUCCGGAAUUAUUGGGCGUAAAGCGCGCGUAGGCGGUUUUUUAAGUCUGAUGUGAAAGCCCACGGCUCAACCGUGGAGGGUCAUUGGAAACUGGAAAACUUGAGUGCAGAAGAGGAAAGUGGAAUUCCAUGUGUAGCGGUGAAAUGCGCAGAGAUAUGGAGGAACACCAGUGGCGAAGGCGGCUUUCUGGUCUGUAACUGACGCUGAUGUGCGAAAGCGUGGGGAUCAAACAGGAUUAGAUACCCUGGUAGUCCACGCCGUAAACGAUGAGUGCUAAGUGUUAGGGGGUUUCCGCCCCUUAGUGCUGCAGCUAACGCAUUAAGCACUCCGCCUGGGGAGUACGACCGCAAGGUUGAAACUCAAAGGAAUUGACGGGGACCCGCACAAGCGGUGGAGCAUGUGGUUUAAUUCGAAGCAACGCGAAGAACCUUACCAAAUCUUGACAUCCUUUGACAACUCUAGAGAUAGAGCCUUCCCCUUCGGGGGGCAAAGUGACAGGUGGUGCAUGGUUGUCGUCAGCUCGUGUCGUGAGAUGUUGGGUUAAGUCCCGCAACGAGCGCAACCCUUAAGCUUAGUUGCCAUCAUUAAGUUGGGCACUCUAAGUUGACUGCCGGUGACAAACCGGAGGAAGGUGGGGAUGACGUCAAAUCAUCAUGCCCCUUAUGAUUUGGGCUACACACGUGCUACAAUGGACAAUACAAAGGGCAGCGAAACCGCGAGGUCAAGCAAAUCCCAUAAAGUUGUUCUCAGUUCGGAUUGUAGUCUGCAACUCGACUACAUGAAGCUGGAAUCGCUAGUAAUCGUAGAUCAGCAUGCUACGGUGAAUACGUUCCCGGGUCU
rnacentral:rRNA from 1 species